rnacentral:rRNA from 1 species
UCGACGGUAGCACAGAGAGCUUGCUCUUGGGUGACGAGUGGCGGACGGGUGAGUAAUGUCUGGGAAACUGCCCGAUGGAGGGGGAUAACUACUGGAACGGUAGCUAAUACCGCAUAAUGUCGCAAGACCAAAGAGGGGGACCUUCGGCCUCUUGCCAUCGGAUGUGCCCAGAUGGGAUUAGCUUGUAGGUGAGGUAACGGCUCACCUAGGCGACGAUCCCUAGCUGGUCUGAGAGGAUGACCAGCCACACUGGAACUGAGACACGGUCCAGACUCCUACGGGAGGCAGCAGUGGGGAAUAUUGCACAAUGGGCGCAAGCCUGAUGCAGCCAUGCCGCGUGUAUGAAGAAGGCCUUCGGGUUGUAAAGUACUUUCAGCGAGGAGAAGGCGUUGUGUUUAUUAACCACAGCGAUUGACGUUACUCGCAGAAGAAGCACCGGCUAACUCCGUGCCAGCAGCC